rnacentral:rRNA from 1 species
UACGAAGGGGGCUAGCGUUGCUCGGAAUCACUGGGCGUAAAGGGCGCGUAGGCGGACUUUUAAGUCAGGGGUGAAAUCCUGAGGCUCAACCUCAGAACUGCCUUUGAUACUGAGGGUCUCGAGACCGGUAGAGGUAAGUGGAACUGCGAGUGUAGAGGUGAAAAUUCGUAGAUAUUCGCAAGAACACCAGUGGCGAAGGCGCUCACUGGCCCGGUACUGACGCUGAGGUGCGAAAGCGUGGGGAG